rnacentral:rRNA from 1 species
AGAGUUUGAUCAUGGCUCAGGAUGAACGCUAGCGGCAGGCCUAAUACAUGCAAGUCGAACGGAUAUAUGUUUUCGGAAUAUAUAUUAGUGGCGCACGGGUGAGUAACACGUACAUAACUUGCCCUCAAGCGGGGGAUAGCCUUGGGAAACUGAGAGUAAUACCCCAUAGAAUUAUUGGACGGCAUCGUUUGAUAAUUAAACUACGGUGCUUGGGGAUAGAUGUGCGUCUGAUUAGCUAGUUGGUGAGGUAACUGCUCACCAAGGCGACGAUCAGUAGGGGGCGUGAGAGCGUGGCCCCCCACACGGGUACUGAGACACGGACCCGACUCCUACGGGAGGCAGCAGUAAGGAAUAUUGGACAAUGGAGGGAACUCUGAACCAGCCAUGCCGCGUGAAGGAUGACGGCCCUCUGGGUUGUAAACUUCUUUUGGAUGGGGCGAAAAAACGGGAUUUAUCCUGGACUGACGGUACCAUCAGAAUAAGCACCGGCUAACUCCGUG